rnacentral:rRNA from 1 species
GACGAACGCUGGCGGCGUGCUUAACACAUGCAAGUCGAACGGAAAGGCCCUGCUUGUGUGGGGUUCUCGAGUGGCGAGGGGGAGUGUAACAUGUGAAUAACCUGCCCUUGACUUGGGUAUAUCUUCAGAAAACUGGGGAUAAUACCGGAUAGGAGCUCCUGCUGCAUGGUGGGGGUGGGAGAGUUUCGGCGGUGGGGGAUGGACUCGGGGGUUAUGCGCUUGUUGGUGGGGUAGUGGCUUACCAAGUCUUUGACGGGUAGCCGGCCUGAGAGGGGCACCGGCAACAUUGGGACUGAGAGAGGGCCCAGACGCCAACGGGAGGCAGUGGGGGGGAAUAUGGAACAAUGGGCGGAAGCGUGAGGAAGAAACGCCGGGUGCGGAAUGACGGCCUUCGGGUGGUAAACGGCUUUCGCCUGUGACGAAGCGUGAGUGACGGUAAUGGGUAAAGAAGCACCGGCUAACUACGUG